AUUGCCUUCAAAAUUACUUAAACGAAUUGGAGCAGCAGGUAGAAGAUCAACUACCAGAAUAGUGCAAUUGCAUGCACAAGGAAAUCUUAGCACAAAUUGGAGAACCUCAAAAGAAAAUUGUUAAGAUGAGAGCCCAACACUGCUACCAGCUAGCAACAUUCCAAGCUCUCUUUCCUCCUCCUCAUCCUCAUGAAAAGAUAAAGACCCAUUAUUUUUUUCAAUCUUAAAUGAUCUGCAUAUAAUUAAUAAUACCCAUUAAAACGAUAAACACCAAUCCCAAUA
rnacentral:misc_RNA from 1 species